UACAAGGUUAAAAUAAUGCAGGAAAUUAAUGAUGAGGUGGCACCUUCUCACCGUCAGGGAGGUGUAUCACUCCGCCAGCAGCAAACUUGACGUCAUGGGCCAGGGCAUGCAGCGGCGUGCAGUGCGUGGGUAUGGUGACUGUGUGGCCUCUGAUGAAGAGGUGUGUGAGCUGCUGGACGAGAGAAGAGCAAAUGAAAAGUAAACAUGGGAUUGCUGCCGCCUCAGGACACUAGGAGCAUUGCGGAAGCGCUGAGGAAGACAUCACAACCCUUGACACAGCGAACACAACUCUGUACUGAGGCUGGCACUGGCUUCUCCCAACACCUCGCGUGGUCAUUGCAACAAAAGGAGGCAACUCCCGCCUCCAGCACCACCACCAUAUACCCGCCUCUCUCCCUGCCGGCCAUGUUAACACUCAGGUAAGGUGUGUCUUUAACGAAACUGAGCUCAAGAGAGGAGUGCAGGGACGAGUUAUCCUGCCAAACACUUCCCGUGGUUCCAAACACUACUUGCAAGAACACCAGGAACCAGUUAUCCUUACGAAUAUGCAUGAUAGCAAAGCGUGAUGUAAAAAAUAAAAAGAGAGAAAAAGUAACAAUAUGUGAGUCAUUACACAUGUUACUAUUAAAAAAAAAAAGAAAAAAAACACACAAAAAAUAUAUAUAAGUAAUCUAGAUGUGUAGGUGAAGACGUGGAAAUAUUGUCAAGCUGAAGAAAGGUAGACUAUUAGAGAAGAGAAAAAGUAUACAAGUAGAGAAGUAGAUAAGGCAUGGCUGACUCAUCUUUUUAAUUUGAUAUUUUAGUAUAAAGGAUAAAAAAAAAAGCGGAAUGGAACGUGUGUGUGUGUGUGUGUGUGUGUGUGUGUGUGUGUGUGUGUGUGUGUGUAUAAGCCAUCAGAUUUACGGGCCGUGUGAUGUUGGUGCAUAUUUUAUUGAGUCCCACGCCACAAGUGGAGGCACGGUGUCCAUCCUGUUACACACCUGACUGCUGGGUGAGUGAAGAUUUGACAUAUGGCGGGACGAUAAUACAACAAAACACGAUAAACAACACGAUAAAAUUAAACGCGGCUGCAAGAUUUAUAUAGUUUACGCUCAUAGUCUGCCUCUUUUUAUUACGGUGGACAUUAUUCUGUGACUCUGCUCUCUGAUGUACAGGACAAUUUAUCCACAACAAACCCUUCACUAAAAAGUAAUACAAGACCAGAAAAAAAAAAAGUCAUGCAGUGAACUUUUUAUUUAGACGAACAUGUUUUGGUAACUCAUAUGACUCACCACGUUUUGACUGCAGUUUAAUUUUAGAAGGUUGACAUUUCCCACCCCCUUUACAAAAAAAAAAAAAA